GCAGAUAGUACGGUGGAGCAGGGAUGCCUGAGCACAAGUAGCUGAGUUCCGAGUGACUUUAGGAAAUGCUUCUCCCCCUUCCUGGGCAUGCAAACAAGACUCUGCACCUGCACCGCAGUUUGUUCGUGAGAGAAGCCUCGGCUUCGCCCUGCAGGGACGAGGAACUAGAGGAAGAAGCAGCAUUUGAAAAUUGUAAGUAUACAUUUCUUUCGUCAAGUGUGCUGAUUAAAAUAGUUUACUGCCAGAAGCCCCAAAUACUCGAAGAUUUGCCAGGGAAUCCUUUUAUGCGUAGUUUGAAAGGUAGCCAAAGGGCAGGGAACUAUACCCGGGAGCAUUUGUUGCAUGCUUUCUUCUGUGAAAGAUAAAGAAUUAAAAAGAAAAGUCAGGCUUUCUGAAGAGUAGCUGUAGGAGACUCCGCACUGGGACACUGCUCCAGCAUGCUGCUUUGUUCAUAGGGGAAAAAAAAUGAAGGCACACACAUGUGUACUUAGUUCUCUUCUUUUCGCUCUUUAUGUCUAAUCAGAUUUGAUUUGUCCCCAGGAAAAAUAAAAGGCAAACUUUGCUGACUCCACUGGCUAGGGUACCCCACACUUUCCAGACAUCUGACAGUUAUUAUAAUUAGCCAUGAAAGACUGCUAAAGACACUUGGAGGCAAAAUAGCUCUUAAAUCUGAACAAUGGCUUCAAGCCAGGGCUUUCUUUUGAUUCAUUUUUGAAGUGUUUUAAAUUUUACAAUAAUGACAGAGACUGAACCGGUUUUUUGUUUGUUUGUUUGUUUUGUCCACAAAAUGUGAAACAAGGUCCGGGCACGAGUGAUGGCAGCUGAAAGUGGCCAGUGUGGAGAAGGGAAAGACAGCUUUCUGUCUUAGGAGCCAGGCCUCCAUAUAAAGAUUUUUUUUUUUUUAAUUCCUAAUAGGGUGGGGUGAGGAUGUGGGGGGUGGGGAGGAAGCAUGCUGAAGCUUCUUCAUAGAAGAAUCCUCAAAGAAUAAAAUAAUUUAGAAUGUCUUUCUGCGGGAAGAGGCAAGGCUAUAACUAACAUCUAAGUUGUAUUUAUGGUAAGAUUUUUUUUUUGAUGGAGUUUUAAACAGAAGUGAUAUUCAAAGCAGC
ensembl:processed_transcript predicted gene 4258